GCCGUUUGUGCGAACAACUAACGUUACAAGUGAAAGCCGCGCUGCAAAACUGCCUCAACCUUGCGAUGUUCCUGUGCGGAAAAACUGCGAGCUGAGCUGACGGUGUUUUCAAAAUAAAGAGCGGACGAUAAACACAAUGUGACGUCAUCACAAGAAUGUUGGAGUCACAUAAUUACUCUCCCUCGCCCGAAAAGAUCCAAGACGAUGGUGCAAAUCUAGAAUUUAAUCCUUAUUUUUGGAACAAGAUUGCAAAUGUCUUAUAUCCAGAGUCACCAGCAGGUGUCGGCUUCUCCUACUCUGAUGACAAGAAGUACACUACCAAUGACACAGAGCUUGAGGAAUGACCUGCAGAAAUUUUGCUGCAAAGAUGGAGUGUGUAACUUCUACUAUAACCAGGAUGUGAACUGCUUGUGUUGUCUCACUACAGUUCAAGUUAUAGUCUACCAGUCUGGACUGAACAUGUUUAACCUAUAAGGAGUUCAGCAGAGAGUCAGGUGAGCUUGGAUCAGUUAUGUGGAGUAACUGUUCAAUGUCAGUUCAUAUGAAGACGUUCCAGUGUCAUUCUGCUCUUCUGAAACCAACAUUGAAAACGGCCAGUUUGUGAUUCGAGACCUGGGCCAUCACUUCGUGAACCAUCCUUACUCCAAAGCACAGAACAAGGUAGAGAAACCAAUUCAUGUGCUGCUUUGGACUGCAAACUUCACUCGGAACGAAAACCAAAAUUUUCACUCUCUCAUUACUGACUUCAGUUUGUUGUCUCAAAACUGUAAACACAAGAUUAUGUUUUAGCUAUUUUGAUGCUCAUUUCCACACGAUGAAAGUUAUACUUUUGAUUUUAAUACAUUGAAUAUAUAUCACCAUUCAUGGCAGCGCUUUCAUUUUAUUUGCAUAUUCAAAUUCUGCCUUGUUUCACCCUCU